GAGGAAGGCUGGAGGCGUGCUUAACACAUGCAAGUCGAACGGAAAGGCCUCUUUCGGGGGGUACUCGAGUGGCGAACGGGUGAGUAACACGUGAGUAACCUGCCCUUGACUUUGGGAUAACUUCAGGAAACUGGGGCUAAUACCGGAUAGGAGCUCCUGCUGCAUGGUGGGGGUUGGAAAGUUUCGGCGGUUGGGGAUGGACUCGCGGCUUAUCAGCUUGUUGGUGGGGUAGUGGCUUACCAAGGCUUUGACGGGUAGCCGGCCUGAGAGGGUGACCGGCCACAUUGGGACUGAGAUACGGCCCAGACUCCUACGGGAGGCAGCAGUGGGGAAUAUUGCACAAUGGGUGGAAGCCUGAUGCAGCAACGCCGUGUGCGGGAUGACGGCCUUCGGGUUGUAAACCGCUUUCGCUCAUGACGAAGCUUUGUGUGACGGUAGUGGGUAAAGAAGCACCGGCUAACUACGUG
rnacentral:rRNA from 1 species